rnacentral:tRNA from 2 species
CAGUAGCUCAGCUGGAUAGAGCAACGGCCUUCUAAGCCGUAGGUCGUGGGUUCGAAUCCCGCCUGG